UUUUGCUUGUUAUGCUUAAGGUAAUCUCAGCGAUUCCACGACGGGAUUCCACGACGACAAGGAUGACGGACAGGGAGGGCAGCAGCCACACGUCAGAACAGCUGCAGGAAAGAGAGAACAGAACUCAUCGGUCAGAGUCAGACCACUCCAGUCAUCCUGCCCUGACAUCCACAGAGGCGCCAGGGCAGCUCUUUGGGCUUCCGAUCUUCUUAAUGUUUCCAAUGACGAUGUUUUAAAACAGGCAAACUGUAAGGUUCACCUGUCCAGAGGCUGACACCAUAAGAAAUGAGACCCCAUAGAAUCUUUGCGCCUUGAAUUUGAGUGCGUUUGAUAGGUCAAUCAUCUAGGAUUCUAAUCAGCAAAUCAGAGCUCAUUCUUUUAUCUUACAGUUGAUGUGAACAGGGGAAACUGCUUGCUUUAUUCAUGUUUACUUGCCUGGGGGUUUGCAUAAAGGCCUCUCAUAAAUUAUCUGUACAGCGUGCAUUCCACACAAACCUACUGUAGAGCUCACGAUACAAUCCAGACUGAUUCAAGCUUUGUUCAUUCAUUGGUUUAAGGUAGACAGCGGUAAUCAUAUACAGUUCCUCCUAAAAGGAGGUAAAAUACCAUCCAAUAAAUUAACCUGCUGGAUAGAUCAUGCAUUAAAUAGAAUCAUUUGAUAGUGGUUAGAGAAAUCACCUCAAAUAAAACCUGGGGUGUGGAUCACAAGUCUAAACUCUGUCCCACCCACCAGACCAACUCUGAGCCCACACCUCUACAGGGUGCAAAGAACCCUCUGAAUCAAAUCCAAGGAGCCCAUUUAGUGUAAAUACAAGCCAGUGUUCAGCACACAGUGAUAUUCACACGUGUGAGAGAAGCUAUCAGAAGAAAGCGUGAGCACUGCACACGUCACACACACGCUGUGCUCUACCUGUUUGACAUUGUAGCCUGUCUUUGCACUUGUUUCAAUAAAAAGAACAUUCAGCUC